rnacentral:lncRNA from 1 species
UUUACCACCUGGAUGGAGGACCAAAAUAACGACUGUCUGCGGCAGCAUCCACUUGGCACUGGGCUCGACACGAACAGCGAGUCAUGUAUUGACUUAGCGGAGCAGCAUUCAAAUGCCACUUUCACCCACCUACGUCGAGGCUCUCAGGUACUUUAUCCGAUUUUGAGAUAUAUUAAUUAGUAUUGAUUCAAGUUCAUCCCACCGUAGAGUGACCGAUGAAAACAGCGCUGGCGCAGCACAGCUCAUUGAUCAGACGAUGAACAUCAGAUAGCAGACUGCAGCUCCAGCUCGAAAACAUCAUCACUUCCGAUCUUGUGAACCAAGUACCAAGCGGAUGCUGCCGCAGACAGUCGUCAUUUUGGUCAUCCAUCCAGGUGGUAAACUUGGGACGACCCACGGCAUCGCGAUUGAUCAAGAGACGCACACAGCGCGGU